UGGUGGGGUAAUGGCCUACCAAGCCGACGAUCCAUAGCUGGUUUUAGAGGAUGAUCAGCCACACUGGGACUGAGACACGGCCCAGACUCCUACGGGAGGCAGCAGUGGGGAAUCUUAGACAAUGGGGGCAACCCUGAUCUAGCCAUGCCGCGUGAGUGACGAAGGUCUUAGGAUCGUAAAGCUCUUUCGCCUGUGAAGAUAAUGACGGUAGCAGGUAAAGAAACCCCGGCUAACUCCGUGCCAGCAGCCGCGGUAAUACGGAGGGGGUUAGCGUUGUUCGGAAUUACUGGGCGUAAAGCGCACGUAGGCGGAUUGGAAAGUUGGGGGUGAAAUCCCGGGGCUCAACCCCGGAACUGCCUCCAAAACUUCCAGUCUGGAGUUCGAGAGAGGUGAGUGGAAUUCCGAGUGUAGAGGUGAAAUUCGUAGAUAUUCGGAGGAACACCAGUGGCGAAGGCGGCUCACUGGCUCGAUACUGACGCUGAGGUGCGAAAGUGUGGGGAGCAAACAGGAUUAGAU
rnacentral:rRNA from 1 species